CCUACGGGAGGCAGCAGUGAGGAAUAUUGGUCAAUGGACGCAAGUCUGAACCAGCCAAGUAGCGUGCAGGAUGACGGCCCUCCGGGUUGUAAACUGCUUUUAGUUGGGAAUAAAAGGGGGCUCGUGAGCCCCGUAUUGUAUGUACCAUCAGAAAAAGGACCGGCUAAUUCCGUGCCAGCAGCCGCGGUAAUACGGAAGGUCCGGGCGGUAUCCGGAAUUAUUGGGUUUAAAGGGAGCGUAGGCGGGCUUUUAAGUCAGCUGGGAAAGUCCGGGGCCCAACCGUGGAAUUGCAGUUGAAACUGGAGGCCUUGAGUGCACACAGGGAUGCCGGAAUUCAUGGUGUAGCGGUGAAAUGCUUAGAUAUCAUGAAGAACUCCGAUCGCGAAGGCAAGUGUCCGGGGUGCAACUGACGCUGAGGCUCGAAAGUGCGGGUAUCAAACAGGAUUAGAUACCCCUGUAGUC
rnacentral:rRNA from 1 species